AUUGAACGCUGGCGGCAGGCCUAACACAUGCAAGUCGAGCGAGCGGCGGACGGGGGAGUAAUGUAUGGGGACUGCCCGACAGAGGGGGAUAACUACUGUAAACGUUGGAUAAUACUGCAUACUAUCGGAUAACCCAUAUGGGAUUAGCUAGUAGGUGGGGUAAAGGCUCACCUAGGCGACGAUCCCUAGCUGGUCUGAGAGGAUGAUCAGCCACACUGGGAAGGAGACACGGGCCAGACUCCUACGGAGGCAGCAGUGGGGAAUAUUGCACAAUGGGCGCAAGCCUGAUGCAGCCAUGCCGCGUGUAUGAAGAAGGCCUUAGGGUUGUAAAGCACUUUCAGCGGGGAGGCGUUACCCGCAGAAGAAGCACCGGCUAACUCCGUGCCAGCAGCCGCGGUAAUUC
rnacentral:rRNA from 1 species